AGGUAAGCAUCAUCAGGAAUCCAAUACCUCAUCAUCGUGUCGUUCUCCGGCGUAACAUUUUCCCCUCCGACGUUGAUCCGAUGAACAACGCGCAACGGAAAAUAUAAGACGCCGUUAUAGGUUCCGUCACUUCCUCGUCGAGUUACAUGUGGGGGAGAGUCUCGAACAAAAUCGGGCGGCGCAAGGAAGGCUUCAAUUGCAUUGACGAAGGCGAAGGAUCUCUCUCUCUCAUCCGGCGCAAAAACAAUCCUCAACUUGCUCGCAGCAGCAACAUUGAUCAAGAAUUCUUCAAUGAGAGGAAGGUUAUUAGAAUUUCCGAAAUCGAGAUCGGAUAAAAGGGUGAAGUGUUGAGUUGAAACCGUGAAACGGGCGCGUGAGAGAUUUCCCAUUGAGGGGAACGGAAAGAAAUGCAGGCGUACAACGUAAGUGCCAUUUUCGUUAAACUCAUACCAAGACGGCUUCGGAAAACUCUUGCGGUUCGAUAGAGUUGAGGUGCUGAUGAAUUGAGGGUAUCUUCGACUUUAUUACCGCCGGCGGAGUGGAGUACGUAGUUGUCGGGAUGGUCGUCGCCGGUGAAACGCUGCCGGCCGUAGAGGGUGAGAGCUGCGUCUGAACCACAGUUGAUGAAGUUGUGAUUAGGGAGAACAUACGAGGCUGAAGUAAUGUAAAGAGUAGAGAGAGUGAAGAGACACGAAAUGGAAAUUAAACAUGUAAAUGUAUUCUGGGAUCGAAAAUUUGCCAUGGAGAGAGUGAACCACAGUUGCUCGUGGAAUUUUUUUUGGGGGCAGCAAAUAUCUGCUGCUGAAUUUUAAUGCAAGCUUAAUGUACUAUGAGGACGGGUUAUAUUGGGUGCAAUUUGAAUGGUUAAUUUGGUGUAGAAAAAAGUUGUGGCUGACUUAGAGUUGACUGUCAACGAGAUAAGCAUGGUAACUUUGACCAAGUAUUUACUAAGAACAAAAGUAAACCACACAGGACUUUAUUAUUUAUGUCUCAUUCUCGAAUUCCCCCCACAGAAUGAAUGAAAAUGAGAGAGAAUAAAAAGUACUAGUAUUGUUGUUGGCUGCUAUGUGGCCCUAUUCGGGCGCAUCAGAUUCUUUAUUACAUUUAGGCCUUAGUUUGAUUUUUUUCUCUAUUUGAUAGGGACAUUCUAUUCAUAGUCCCUAUUUUACUCUUUAUAGUUUCUUAUAUAAAAAAAAAUAUAGAUUUACUAUUUUAUCAUGUAAAUCAUAGCCUCCAAUAAUUAAAUUGUAAGCAUCACAAAUUUUCACCAAUUGAAUCUCUGCAAACUAAUCUAUAACCCCACUUCAAAAAAUCAAUUAAAAUCUCAACUACUGAUAUAAUCUACACUCCUCAAAAUACAACAUAUGCAUCUCUUUUACUAUCACAAAGUUUGUGGCCAGCUUUCACCUUGUUGGAAAUCCACGUGUCCGAAAUCCAGGCACCAAUCUACUACUUCCGGAUGCUCGGCCUGUAGAUCAAAGGUGUGAUUCCUUUCGAAAUUGGAAACUUGAACACUCUGCAGACUUUGGAUUUAUCCAUGAAUUGACUCACCAGAUUCAUCCUGGCGACAAUCAGGAAACUAGAGCAACUCCAGAUGCUGCAUCUACAUGAAAACCACCUGCAACGAUAAAUCCCUCAUCUUUGCUUGCUUGGAAAUUUGGGGUACUUGUACCUUGGUGGUAACAUGCCCACAGGUGUUGUACCUAGUUGUUUGGGUGGACUUCAAUUCCUUUUAAAAGCUUCCCUUGCCUCUAACAAGUUGAACUCCACACUCCCUCCUAAGUUCUUCAGCCUUAAAGCUCUCACAAUCUUGGACUUAUCCUCAAACAAAUUAAAUGGUCAAAUUCCAUAUCAGAUUGGAAGUUUGAGAGAUACAGCUACCUAGACUUGUCUUUUCCAGCUGGUGUUUGCCCGACGGUGGACGUGGGCGGCCACUUCAGCGGUGGAGGCAAAUCCUGGACAAGAGAAGCAUUCCAUCGCCUCCGAUCACAUCGUUGACACCAUACUGAUCAUUGCUGACGGUCAAAUCCUGGACAAGAGAAGCAUGGGAGAAGAUUUGUUUUGGGCCAUCCGAGAAGGCGGAGGCACAAGCUGCUAGACCCUGGACUUCUGCACUGGCCCGUUCCUCGCUGUGCUGGUCCCGGCUCCACCCGUGUUUCUCACGUUGGGCUGUUUGUUGGUGUUUCCUCUUUGAGUUUUUUCGCUUUUCCGUUGUUCGUUGUUGGCUUCCCUUGUCUUUGGUUUGUGUGAGCCGAGCCUCCUAGGGGCGAUGGUUCGGCCGGAGCCUCUGAGGGGGCUCUUUCCCCGCUCUCCGUCUGUACCUUUUCUUUCUCUUUUUGUUUCAUCUUUCUUUUAGACGGGUUCUUUUUUUCCUCGCUAAUGUUUUCCUUAAUGAAGUUUUAACGAGGCCCGACCCUAAAUUGCGCUUGUGCUCUCAUGGUAAGUUUUUCUUUUGGUUCUUUUUAAUAAAAUUUCUAUUUCAGCAGUAGAAGGCACCAUGACCAUUUGGAAUAAUUCAGAAUUACAAUAAAAGGAUUUAUUUAGUAAUUUUUUAUUAUAAGUUUAAUUUUGCUACAUUAUUAGAAUUAAAAUGAACUAUGUAAAAAUGAAAUCUAGAAAAAAAACAUGAAUUUCAUAUCAAUUUUCUUUUUUGACCGUAUUUUUUAAUGAGAACGAAAUCAGGUGAUGUUUAAUUAAUUAAAAUUAAGUUUUUAUAUUAAAUUUAAAUGAUUUUUUUUAAAAAAUUUAUGAGUUUCAUAUUAUAAUUUUAAAAAAUCAUCCAAUAAUUGAUUCAAAAUAUAUAUUAAAAUAAUAAUAUUACUAUAAAAUAAAAUAAAAUAUUCACUCCGUCCCACAUAUUUAUGCAUACAAGUAUUUUCUUUUUGAUACAUUCCCCAAAUUUAUGCACACUCUAAUUUUGGACACUACUCCACACAUAAUAUUUACAAUUUUAUUUUUGUAACUUACAUUAUUUAUUCGCAAUCUAUUUAAUAAUACUCUCAUUAUAGGACUCUUUCUUCAUUAUUAAUAAUAUAAAUAAUUUUUUUAUUAAUAUUCAUAUUGUGGUCAACUAAAUAUAUUUAUGCAGAAUGAAAGGAGUAUAAAUUUACACUCAAAAUAAUUUAUUUUUACGUACCAAUACAUCAUUUCUGCUAAAUUUUUAAUAAGUACUUAGUGUGUAACCCGUCGAAUUUCGACGGGUAUCAUUUGGUGUUAUAAUUAAUUUAUAUAAAAAAUAUAAAAAUUAUUUUUUUAAUAUAUUUAUAAAUUAUGGAAAUUAUUCACUAAAACAUUUGUUAAUAUGAUAUAGGUCUACGUUACACAUCAAACUAAAAUGAAAAAGUAAAUUAAUGAGGACUUUCAUCCUCAACAUGACUUAGCGAAAUGUAUAUUCGAAAAAAUUAUUUGCCACCACUACUAUUUACCACCCAUACCCGCAACCCGCGGAUACCCGUCGCUCGUCGGGUAUCCGCCAUCCGUUACCCGUUGGAUACCCGCCACUCUCUACCCGUCGAAUAUCUGUCGAGGCUUCAGAGUUAGGGGCGCUGCUGCUUCUCGGCGUCGACAUCCUGCAAUCAACCACCCAACAAAUGCAAUAAAUCACCCAAUAAAUAAAUCACCACGAAAUGCAGCAAAUUUUAGAGAAAAUUUCAACUUCUUGUACACUACUAUUUGCCACCUAUAACCCGCGACCCGCAGAUACCGCUACCCGUCGUAUACCCGCCACCCGUUACCCGUCGACGGAAAUUAUUUGAUGUUAAAAAAAUAUAGAAAUUAUUUCAUAAUAUAUUUAUGAAUUAUAGAUAUUUUUUAUUUUAAUUAAUUCAAAAUUGUAAUAAAAUUGGAAUCAUUAUUCUACCACACAACUCACUAAAUAAGUAUAACCCUCAUUAUUAUUAUUAUUAUUAUUAUUAUUAUUAUUACAGUUGAACCCAUCACUUAUUUAUAUUUAUAAAGUAUCUAAUCAAUUAACAUACAGUUGAACCCAUCACUUAUUUAUAUUUAUAAAGUAUCUAAUCAAUUAACAUAAAUUCUUACGAUAAUUAGUUAUUUAUCUCAAUAAAAUUUAAAUUUGAUUUCAAAAUUAAGUGGCAAUUUUAUAGUUAUAAUAAAAUUGAAUGUUUAUUUGUAAAUUACAUUUUUUUCUUCUAUUUCAGUUUUAUUUAUCUCCUUAUUCUUUAUUUAUAUUUUAAAAAUAUAAAAGUUAUAUUCAUUUAAAGAUUAAAAUUUUAAAAAAAAUUUAUCAUGUCUCCUCUUUUUUGAAUAAAUCUAUUUUUAAAUCUAUUUUCAUUUAGAAAUAGAAUAUAAUAGAUAGAAAUCCCUCAAAUUCAAAACUCAAAACUAUACGCCCACAUAUCAUGGUAUAGAUCCGGUGCGAAUUUCUACCACAUAGAAUAGAAAAAGUGUGUGGGAAAAAAGAAUGUGAUUAGUUGAUUUCCACAAGCGAAAAUGUGUAUUAUCUUAUAGUAAUUGCAAAUUCAAAUUCCUGAUAACGUUAGAUUUCCAUAACCCGAUAUAACACCACAACACACAUUAAAAUGAAUUAAAAUACGCAACUAACGACUGGUCACAUCGGGAAAACUAAAAAAACAACAAAAAAUCAAAAGUUUGCAGCUAAUAACAAAGCACAAACAACAUAUAAAACUCGAGCCACAGUACAUUAGCAAAAACAACAACCAACCAAGAGGACAAUGCACACACCGAAGAGAUGGCAAGCUUUGCGGACGCGAUCGAGGCCCCAGAGAAGGUUGAGUUGCAGCUGGAGAAGCUUCUGCGGGUAAUAAAAGGCGAGAGGAAACAAUUUCUCGCCAACGAAGGCUGCAAUUAAGUAGUAAGCCGACUUCCGUUGAUUAUCAAUGUAAUUGCAUUUCUACUCAAUUUCCUAAUGAUUAUCACACAUCAAAAGUAUAAGCAAUAAAAAAAAAUCAACUAAAUCAUCAAAAAAGAUCAAAAAUAAUAACGUAACGUAGCACCACUGUUUUAUGAAGACAAAUAAUGCAUUGAGACCUUAAAAGAGAAAGUAGGCUUACUUUAGAGAAAAUGAACCGCAUAGCUCAAGAUACCACUUAAAGAGAAAACCAUGUGCGCAUAGAAUUAAAUGACACUUACAGUCCAAAAUAUUAGUCGUUGAACCACAUAAUUCCAUUGGUUUCUAAUUUUAAUUGUACAGAGUGUCAGAUAAAAUUUUGAAUAGUAAGAUCAAGUUAAGUGAAAAGAGGUGUACCAGCAGACGAAAAGGAGCGGAUACCGAAACUGAACUGUAGACACCCCAUAAGUAUAGUUAGAAGAAGUGCAGAUGGUAAGAUAUAUUAAUAAUACAGUUUCUAUACCAACCUUUAUCUUAGAAGAAUCACCAUGAAUGCCAUUAACUAAUGGGAAUGAUGUUGGCCUGCAAAAUUUAAUUAGGAGAUUGUGGAAAAGCAAACAUUAGACACUGGAUUUACAUGCUAACUCAAUUUGACUAAUAACACACCAUGAAUAAUAUCAGAUACAACAUUCAGCAAGUUCUUUUCUUCUUUUAUUUUAAAAGUCAUUAUUUAAUUACAACUUGUAGCACAAGUUGUAAUUAUAGAUUUAAUUCCCAGAAAAGAGCAAAAAAUAUCAGAAAGACCAGAAAUUAUCUUAGAAAUCCAGUACCAGGUAGCAACGGAAGGAUUUUAUUCACCAUUAGUCACCUCACAACUUUCCCUACGCUUACUAUCAAUCACCUACUCUAUCAGCUAUGUACAGAAUACUAUCAAUCACCUAGUUGAUCACCAUUUUCAGCCAAAGCCAUACCAUGGUUUCAGCUGCUCGAAAGGUAAGAUUUAGCCUAACCCCUUCACCAUUCCUUAAUGAUUUCAGCCUGCAAUUGUUUAAACAAAUUACGCGAAUUUUAUUUCAGCAUUUCUUGCUAGCAUAACAGCAACCAAGUAAGCAGGUAAUUCUCAUCAACACUCCUUAUUUUACUUGCUAAGUUUUGAUGUGCAUGAAAUCAGAAAAACUCCACGUAGCCUUAACACCAAGUUUAGAUUGACAGACAUACAAUACCAAUGCUUAAUGACUUGCGAACCUGCUUGGAAGAUAUCUUCAAUAAUAUCCAAAUCAUAGUAAUGAGCUAAUGAAGAGCUCGAAAAUGCCCAAGAAUGCAGGCAAUGAAGAUGUUAUCAAUUUAAGAUAAUUGGACAAAUAAGUUAAAUCAUUCAGAUAAUUCAUUAUAUAGUGAAGCUCAAGAAGCCUUUAUAAGUACAAAUCUUAAUAUUGCAUUAAUGAAAGCAUAAGAACACAACACAUCCUCAAAAAUUUUAAGAAAAUUCAUAUAGACAUUUCUUUUGCACCCAUCAUAUCUUGACAAAACCAAAAAAGAUAAAGGCUCACAUUUCAAAAAUACCCAACUGAUAUGUAUAAUUCUAUUUCUCAAAUACAGUUAAUUUGCCAAAUUGUUCAUCAUACAUAUAUUCUGGUAAUUGAGUAAAAAAAAUAGUAAUAAAAUAAAAUCGAUAUAUUGUAUACCUUGAGAAAUAAGCAAAAGGAGCAAUAAGCAAGAAGACAGUAGAAUGUGCGGCAAUAAGAUUUCUCAUUUAAACUAAUGAAUUUAUAACUAAAAUGUAGGUUAUAAAGUUUCCAUUGUUAAACCUAAACCCUAAGAAUUUGCUGAUUAUUAAUCGAUAGGUAAAUCUUUUCAAAUUUUCACAUUUCUAAAAUUUAGUACUAAUCAUAAUGAAAUAUAAUCUUUCCUAACAUAAUAAUUUUCCAUUGUUAAAUCUAAAUCCUAAAAAUUGGCAGAUUAUUGAUCGAUUGGUAAAUCUUUCCAAAAUUUCAUUAUUCUAAAAUUGAGCACUAAUCAUAGUAGUCAAUCUUUCCUAAUUGAAUACUUACCAUGGAGAGGCGCAGAUCGCUGGCGGCGACUUGGUGACAGGGCAGACGGAGACGGCGGUGGCGGAUGGCGGUGGAGGGGAAACGGGAGUGGCGAUGUUAUCACCGAGACAUAUUGCAGCAGUGAUCGGAGCAGAUUUCGUUACCGAGCAGAUCUCUGGCAAAGACUUGGUGACGGGGCGGACGGCGGUGAAGGGGAAAGGGGAGCGGCGAGGUGGCAGAUCGGGGCUGAGCUUGGGGCGAAUCGCCGGGGGUGGGAGGAAAGCGGUGGAUACAAUUUUUUUUGAGAGGUGGAUACAAAUUUCGUUUUGCUAUUUUAUAUGUGAUGCAUGUAUAAUUUAAAUAAAUAAAAUAACUUAAUUAAAUAAUGUAUAUAUAAAAUAUAGCUUAUGUGGAAUUAUAUUGCCACGUCAGCGAUAGAGAAUUGAGCUAGAGGCUCUAGAAUUGCAGGGAUUUUAAACCUUGAAUUCUUAGACAUGCCACGUAGGACCCCGGAUUAAGGAGAGAGCAGGAAUCCUUAAUCGUAUUAUAUAUUUGAUUGAUUAUGGUCUGGGCUGACCAUAGAUAAAUUAAUUUAUUUGAGNUUUAUAAAUAUAAAGAAAUGAAAAGUGGUACACACUAUAUUUUGGGACAGAGGAUCCCAUUUGUGCAGUAUUGCGGGUCCAGGAAUACUUACAUUAAUUAAUUGGACAACAAUUUCUAAAAUUCACAAAAAAAGAAAAGAGAGCAGAGAUAUAUGUAUAUUCCUGAUAUAAUUAGAGCCAGAAACUUAUCAUACAUGAAACUCUAAUAUAAGAAUUAUAUAUACGCAAACUAGCAAAUUCCGCAUGAUACCUAAUUAAUCAAAAGUACUACACUCUACACUACUAGAAAUGCAUAUCAUAAUGCACGAGGCAUUAAUUCUCUCUCCUUCUUAAUCCUCUCUAAAACCCCAUCCAAAGCAAUAUCAAAAGCAUCCUUAAAAUCUGUUGAUCCUCCACUCUGGAUCCCAUAUAUUAUCCUAGGAAUUGUCUCAACCACUUUCUCUCUCUUCCUCCUAAUCUCCUCCUUACUAUACCUCAUCAAAACACGCUCUAUGAUACAACUCUCAUUCCUCACUUCCUCAUGGUCGAUAUAAACCGAGUAACUCUCCGGUUCGCCCGGCAAGAACCACUCGUAUUGGUCGUAGGCCGUCUGGUUCCAGAAAAAGACCGGCACCGAACCGGCUAUCAUGCAGUCGAAAACCGACCGCCUCGUGUAGCUAUCCCCCUUGGGCUGCAGGCAGAACUCCGACGCCAGAAACGAAUCCAAUAUCGCCGACGAGUCAGCCGAGCAAUGCGCGGCCGCGCAGUCCACCACGCGACACGAGGACGACACGUUCGAGCAGUAACUCAGCAGGAGCCCCCGGAAAUCGUGGCUGACCCAUCCACGCGCCGCCCCGAUGAAUGUGAAGAGGCUCGAGCGAUUGUGUUCAAGCACGAAGCUUUGCCAAUCUCGAGAAUCUCGGCUUUCGGGGUGGAAUCCGGUGGGGUAAGGUACACCGACGUCUCGGUCGUCGUCCAGCGCCUUCUCUAUGAUGAAGCGGGUGACCCGCUGCAUCUCGGGCAUGUUGAGAAAUGUGGAGCCCCAGAUUUGGCCCGGGUCGGUCAGGCGUCGGAAAUCCCAUGUGAUUCGGCCCACCGCCGUGAAAUGAUCAGAGCCGUUGGAUUUGUGCCAGUGCCCCUGCCUCUGGACCCAUCGCAGGAGCAUCUCGCAAUGCCGGUCGCGUUUGGCGGUGUCGUUGAUCCACAGGUACUUCCCCACCGCGAGUCCAGCGUAAAACGGGACGUAGAACGCCGCAGCGGAUUCCGGCUCCGCGGUCCUGCAUUUGUGCCGCAGAAUCCGCUGAUGGAAGAUCAACUCCAGGGCGAACUGGUUCGUCCGGAACCAGGAUUUCGAGAUAUUCUCCGGCAAGACGCGGCGGAGCUCGGCGGCGGGGCCGCCCAGGCCGUGGUUGGUGGCGAUGCCGCAUUGCCAGUUCCAGGGGUCGAGGUCGGUGCAGUUGUGCAGUAACAAGUCGCGGUUGAAUGUGGAGGGGAGAUCGUAGGCGUAAACUCUGCCCAAGGGGCAUUCUUCGGAGCCGGAAACGGCGGCGGCGGUGCGGUUGGGCAAACACGGCGGGGAAAUGCGGGCGGCGGAGAUGAUGAAAAGAGGGAUCAAGAGGAAGGCGAGUGAGAUCCAUAAAUAAGGGUGCGAUGAAAUGUGAGCGUACAACAAAUUGAAGAAAUUGAGGGGUUUAUGUGAUUUCUUCCGCUCCGGCGAGUAUGCGUGGAGCAUAAUUGAAGGUUGAAGAUUUGGUUUUGGAGAAGAAUUCUCUAGUUGAAAUGAGGAGGUGGUGGGUAAUUGAAAUGUGUACAUUUUAGGAAAUUCAUUUUUGAGUAUUGUGCAAUUAGAAAUAUGGCAGGAAAAUGGUCCGGGUCCUAUGAUUUUGAUUUUUGAUAUAAUGACUUUUUCAGCAAAAUCUGCUUGGGUUGAUUGACGGAUAGCAUGGGAUUGUGAAACGGAUUACAUUUA
rnacentral:lncRNA from 1 species